rnacentral:rRNA from 2 species
UUUCUGGGCGCUAUGGUAAGACAUGAAAACACCCGAUCCCAUUCCGACCUCGAUAUGUGAAAUCGUCUUACGCCAUAUGUACUGAAAGAUUUCGGGAGACAUGGUUCAAGCCCGGACA